AUUGAACGCUGGCGGCAUGCCUUACACAUGCAAGUCGAACGGUAACAGGUCUUCGGAUGCUGACGAGUGGCGAACGGGUGAGUAAUACAUCGGAACGUGCCUAGGAGUGGGGGAUAACUACUCGAAAGAGUGGCUAAUACCGCAUGAGAUCUACGGAUGAAAGCAUGGGAUCGCAAGACCUUGUGCUACUAUAGCGGCCGAUGGCAGAUUAGGUAGUUGGUGGGGUAAAAGCUUACCAAGCCGACGAUCUGUAGCUGGUCUGAGAGGAGGAUCAGCCACACUGGGACUGAGACACGGCCCAGACUCAUACGGGAGGCAGCAGUAGGGAAUUUUGGACAAUGGGGGAAAGCCUGAUCCAGCAAUGCCGCGUGAAGGAUGAAGGCGUUCGGGUUGUAAACUGCUUUUGUACGGAACGAAAAGCCCUGGGUUAAUACCGUGGGGGCACGACGGUACCGUAAGAAUAAGCACCGGCUAACUACGUGCCAGCCGCCGCCGUAA
rnacentral:rRNA from 1 species